rnacentral:rRNA from 1 species
UACGUAGGGGGCGAGCGUUGUCCGGAUUCAUUGGGCGUAAAGAGCUCGUAGGCGGCUUGUCAAGUCGGGUGUGAAAACUCCAGGCUCAACCUGGAGACGCCACUCGAGACUGUCAUGGCUAGAGUCCGGUAGGGGAUCACGGAAUUCCUGGUGUAGCGGUGAAAUGCGCAGAUAUCGGGAGGAACACCGGUGGCGAAGGCGGUUCUCUGGGCCUGUACUGACGCUGAGGAGCGAAAGCGUGGGGAGCGAACAGG